GGGGAUGUAGUUCAGUGGUUGGAAUGUCUGCCUGGCAAGCAUGAGGCCCCAAGUUUGAUUCCUGGCAACCCCC
rnacentral:tRNA from 1 species